rnacentral:rRNA from 1 species
GAUGAACGCUAGCGGCAGGCUUAAUACAUGCAAGUCGAGGGGUAGCAAGAUUGUAGCAAUACAAUUGUUGGCGACCGGCAAACGGGUGCGGAACACGUACACAACCUUCCUACAAGUGGGGAAUAGCCCAGCGAAAUUUGGAUUAAUACCCCGUAACAUAGCGAUGUGGCAUCACAUUGCUAUUAUAGCUUCGGCGCUUGUUGAUGGGUGUGCGGCUGAUUAGAUAGUUGGCGGGGUAACGGCCCACCAAGUCUACGAUCAGUAGUUGAUGUGAGAGCAUGAUCAGCCAAAAGGGAACUGAGACACGGGCCCGACUCCUACGGGAGGCAGCAGUAAGGAAUAUUGGACAAUGGACGCAAGUCUGAUCCAGCCAUGCCGCGUGAAGGAUUAAGGUCCUCUGGAUUGUAAACUUCUUUUAUAAGGGACGAAAAAAGGUCUUUCUAGAUCGUCUGACGGUACCUUAUGAAUAAGCACCGGCUAACUCCGUGCCAGCCGCCGCAGUAAUAC